UCUUAGUAUUUUUUAGUGGAAGGGAAUGCUUGAAUUGUUAUUGUCUUGAUUUGAAAACGUUGUUAUUGAUUUACAGAGUUAUCAGCUGUUGUAGACAUGGAGUUUGAUUCUAUGGGUUCUAAAUGACUACGAUACAUCUACUUUCACUAGGUUUGUCAUCUUACGAAACACCACUGAAUGCCAAAGAGGAUCUGCAAAUGGAAUUUCAUCAACUGUAAUGUCUUUAUUCAAAGUAUUCGAUCCAGCUGGUGGUGGUGCCAUGUCUUGUAGAUGAUGGCAGAAGAUUACUAUUCUCGGGGACAAGCAGGGAGGUCUAUAUGAUUGAUCAACAUCCUGAGUUGUUGGAUCGCUCUUCUAGACAGCGAGAGCCACCUGUG